ACAAGCCUGAGAAACGGCUAGUAGGACUAAGGUCUGCAGCAGGCGCGAAACUUACACAAUGCUAGAUUAAAAUUAGCGAUGUAGUGAAGAAAAAUAACGAUGUACUUCCAUUUAAACAUGGUAGUACAAUUGGAAUGAGACGACUCUAAACCAGUCAGUCGAGUAACAAAUGGAGGGCAAGUCUGGUGCCAGCAGCCGCGGUAAUUCCAGCUCCAUUAGCAUACAUUAAAGUUGUUGCGGUUAAAAAGCUCGUAGUUGAAUUUUAGGCGAGCUCUAUUGGGAUGCAACCGUUAAGGUUCCAUGCGAUGCCAUCUUCGGAUGCUCCUUGGCAACUGGUUGUAUUUUCCCUAUAGGAACUCGCUGUUUCGUCACUUAAUCGAGUGCGAAGCGGGCUGGAACGAUGGUUUAAACUUCGCGUUUGCCUUGUUACAGCAAGUUUACCUUGAGAAAAUUAGAGUGCUCACAGCAGGCAGUUGGGGUGUAAAAGCCCCUUUAUGCUUGAAUAAUGUUGCAUGGAAUAAUAGAAUAUGGCCUCGGUUCUAUUCUGUUGGUCUUAUAGAACAACAAAUAAGUUGGUUAAAGCGACCAAAAGUCCGUUUGUGAGUGUGGUCUCAUGUGGCUUGGUAUACAUCUAGUGGCUCUUUCUGCGAGUCUAGUUCUGGUUCUGUUGCCUGGGGCCUUAAAAUCCCAGAGCCUGGCCACUCUAGUUCCUGUAGAUAUCCGCUAGUGCUAUCUUGUUCGCUUGUUUCCAUUAAAGCACUCCUUAUGAGGCUAGCUUUUAAUCAACUGAGGCAAUGGUUAAAAGAAAUAGUCGCGGCGGCAUCAGUACUGCAUCGUGAGAG
rnacentral:rRNA from 1 species